GUUAAGCGACUAAGCGUACACGGUGGAUGCCCUGGCAGUCAGAGGCGAUGAAGGACGUGCUAAUCUGCGAUAAGCGUCGGUAAGGUGAUAUGAACCGUUAUAACCGGCGAUUUCCGAAUGGGGAAACCCAGUGUGUUUCGACACACUAUCAUUAACUGAAUCCAUAGGUUAAUGAGGCGAACCGGGGGAACUGAAACAUCUAAGUACCCCGAGGAAAAGAAAUCAACCGAGAUUCCCCCAGUAGCGGCGAGCGAACGGGGAGCAGCCCAGAGCCUGAAUCAGUGUGUGUGUUAGUGGAAGCGUCUGGAAAGGCGCGCGAUACAGGGUGACAGCCCCGUACACAAAAAUGCACAUGCUGUGAGCUCGAUGAGUAGGGCGGGACACGUGGUAUCCUGUCUGAAUAUGGGGGGACCAUCCUCCAAGGCUAAAUACUCCUGACUGACCGAUAGUGAACCAGUACCGUGAGGGAAAGGCGAAAAGAACCCCGGCGAGGGGAGUGAAAAAGAACCUGAAACCGUGUACGUACAAGCAGUGGGAGCACGCUUAGGCGUGUGACUGCGUACCUUUUGUAUAAUGGGUCAGCGACUUAUAUUCUGUAGCAAGGUUAACCGAAUAGGGGAGCCGAAGGGAAACCGAGUCUUAACUGGGCGUUAAGUUGCAGGGUAUAGACCCGAAACCCGGUGAUCUAGCCAUGGGCAGGUUGAAGGUUGGGUAACACUAACUGGAGGACCGAACCGACUAAUGUUGAAAAAUUAGCGGAUGACUUGUGGCUGGGGGUGAAAGGCCAAUCAAACCGGGAGAUAGCUGGUUCUCCCCGAAAGCUAUUUAGGUAGCGCCUCGUGAAUUCAUCUCCGGGGGUAGAGCACUGUUUCGGCAAGGGGGUCAUCCCGACUUACCAACCCGAUGCAAACUGCGAAUACCGGAGAAUGUUAUCACGGGAGACACACGGCGGGUGCUAACGUCCGUCGUGAAGAGGGAAACAACCCAGACCGCCAGCUAAGGUCCCAAAGUCAUGGUUAAGUGGGAAACGAUGUGGGAAGGCCCAGACAGCCAGGAUGUUGGCUUAGAAGCAGCCAUCAUUUAAAGAAAGCGUAAUAGCUCACUGGUCGAGUCGGCCUGCGCGGAAGAUGUAACGGGGCUAAACCAUGCACCGAAGCUGCGGCAGCGACACUAUGUGUUGUUGGGUAGGGGAGCGUUCUGUAAGCCUGUGAAGGUGUACUGUGAGGUAUGCUGGAGGUAUCAGAAGUGCGAAUGCUGACAUAAGUAACGAUAAAGCGGGUGAAAAGCCCGCUCGCCGGAAGACCAAGGGUUCCUGUCCAACGUUAAUCGGGGCAGGGUGAGUCGACCCCUAAGGCGAGGCCGAAAGGCGUAGUCGAUGGGAAACAGGUUAAUAUUCCUGUACUUGGUGUUACUGCGAAGGGGGGACGGAGAAGGCUAUGUUGGCCGGGCGACGGUUGUCCCGGUUUAAGCGUGUAGGCUGGUUUUCCAGGCAAAUCCGGAAAAUCAAGGCUGAGGCGUGAUGACGAGGCACUACGGUGCUGAAGCAACAAAUGCCCUGCUUCCAGGAAAAGCCUCUAAGCAUCAGGUAACAUCAAAUCGUACCCCAAACCGACACAGGUGGUCAGGUAGAGAAUACCAAGGCGCUUGAGAGAACUCGGGUGAAGGAACUAGGCAAAAUGGUGCCGUAACUUCGGGAGAAGGCACGCUGAUAUGUAGGUGAGGUCCCUCGCGGAUGGAGCUGAAAUCAGUCGAAGAUACCAGCUGGCUGCAACUGUUUAUUAAAAACACAGCACUGUGCAAACACGAAAGUGGACGUAUACGGUGUGACGCCUGCCCGGUGCCGGAAGGUUAAUUGAUGGGGUUAGCGCAAGCGAAGCUCUUGAUCGAAGCCCCGGUAAACGGCGGCCGUAACUAUAACGGUCCUAAGGUAGCGAAAUUCCUUGUCGGGUAAGUUCCGACCUGCACGAAUGGCGUAAUGAUGGCCAGGCUGUCUCCACCCGAGACUCAGUGAAAUUGAACUCGCUGUGAAGAUGCAGUGUACCCGCGGCAAGACGGAAAGACCCCGUGAACCUUUACUAUAGCUUGACACUGAACAUUGAGCCUUGAUGUGUAGGAUAGGUGGGAGGCUUAGAAGUGUGGACGCCAGUCUGCAUGGAGCCGACCUUGAAAUACCACCCUUUAAUGUUUGAUGUUCUAACGUUGACCCGUAAUCCGGGUUGCGGACAGUGUCUGGUGGGUAGUUUGACUGGGGCGGUCUCCUCCUAAAGAGUAACGGAGGAGCACGAAGGUUGGCUAAUCCUGGUCGGACAUCAGGAGGUUAGUGCAAUGGCAUAAGCCAGCUUGACUGCGAGCGUGACGGCGCGAGCAGGUGCGAAAGCAGGUCAUAGUGAUCCGGUGGUUCUGAAUGGAAGGGCCAUCGCUCAACGGAUAAAAGGUACUCCGGGGAUAACAGGCUGAUACCGCCCAAGAGUUCAUAUCGACGGCGGUGUUUGGCACCUCGAUGUCGGCUCAUCACAUCCUGGGGCUGAAGUAGGUCCCAAGGGUAUGGCUGUUCGCCAUUUAAAGUGGUACGCGAGCUGGGUUUAGAACGUCGUGAGACAGUUCGGUCCCUAUCUGCCGUGGGCGCUGGAGAACUGAGGGGGGCUGCUCCUAGUACGAGAGGACCGGAGUGGACGCAUCACUGGUGUUCGGGUUGUCAUGCCAAUGGCACUGCCCGGUAGCUAAAUGCGGAAGAGAUAAGUGCUGAAAGCAUCUAAGCACGAAACUUGCC
rnacentral:rRNA from 1 species